rnacentral:rRNA from 1 species
UACAGAGGGUGCGAGCGUUAAUCGGAAUUACUGGGCGUAAAGCGCGCGUAGGCGGCUUUGUAAGUCGGGUGUGAAAUCCCCAGGCUUAACCUGGGAACUGCAUUCGAGACUGCAUUGCUAGAGUAUGGGAGAGGGAAGUGGAAUUUCCGGUGUAGCGGUGAAAUGCGUAGAUAUCGGAAGGAACAUCAGUGGCGAAAGCGACUUCCUGGACCAAUACUUACGCUCCUGUGCGAAAGCGUGGGGAGCAAACAGG